rnacentral:rRNA from 1 species
CGCUAGCUACAGGCUUAACACAUGCAAGUCGAGGGGUAGCAGGGUAGCAAUACCGCUGACGACCGGCGCACGGGUGAGUAACACGUAUCCAACCUUCCCAUCACUCGGGGAUAGCCUUUCGAAAGAAAGAUUAAUACCCGAUAGUACUUUUUUGAGGCAUCUUGAGAAAGUUAAAGAUUUAUUGGUGAUGGAUGGGGAUGCGUUCCAUUAGAUAGUUGGUGAGGUAACGGCUCACCAAGUCUUCGAUGGAUAGGGGUUCUGAGAGGAAGGUCCCCCACAUUGGUACUGAGACACGGACCAAACUCCUACGGGAGGCAGCAGUGAGGAAUAUUGGUCAAUGGGCGAGAGCCUGAACCAGCCAAGUAGCGUGAAGGAUGACGG